AUGGCCGCCGCGACGGCGACGGCAGCCUUCGUGGUCGUGCGCCCACGCAGCCGAGACUCAGCUAGCCACGCCUCUUCUCUCUCAACCGCCGUCGCCGGCACCCGCACUACUCUUGUCCACCACCGCGGCCACGCUGCACGCCGGCGCCUCCCGCUCUCUCGAGCCCGAGCUCUGCUGCCCCACGGCCUCCCCCUGGUCCUGGUCUCCGACCACUGGGGCAACUGGACGGUCCUCCUGUCCGCGGCCGCGCUGGGCGUCUGGUCCGAGAAAAGCACCCGCGCCGGCAAGGCGCUGAGCGGCGCGCUGGUGAGCGUGCUGCUCGGCCUCGCCGCCACCACGGCCGGGCUCGUCGCCGCCGACGCCCCCGCCUACCGCGUGGUGCUGGAGUACCUGCUCCCGCUGGCCGUGCCGCUGCUCCUCUUCCGCGCCGACCUCCGCCGCGUUGUCCGCUCCGCCGGCGCCCUCCUCCUCGCAUUCCUCCUCGGAUCUGUGGCGACGACGGUGGGCACGGUGGUGGCGUUCGCGCUGGUGCCGAUGCGGUCGCUGGGGCCGGACAACUGGAAGAUCGCGGCGGCCCUCAUGAGCCGGCACAUCGGAGGAGCCGUCAACUACGUGGCCGUCGCGGAGGCCCUGCAGGUGACCCCGUCGGUGCUGGCCGCCGACAACGUCAUCUGCGCGCUCUACUUCACCACGCUAUUCGCGCUGGCCGCCAAGAUCCCCGCUGAAGAGACGGUGCAUUCCAAAGAGGGAGUCAACGCCAGCGGCGAGCCCACUCCGGCUGCCGGCGGCGGCGACAGGCUGCCGGUCCUGGAGAGCGCGACGGCGCUGGCCGUGUCGUUCGCGAUAUGCAGAGCAGGCAAGCACAUGACGGCCCUGCUGGGCGUACAGGGCGGCAGCCUCCCCUGCAUCACAGCAAUCGCGGUGGCGCUGGCGACACUGUUCCCCUCGCACGUCGGCAAGCUCGCCCCCGCCGGCGAGGCCAUGGCCGUGAUCCUGAUGCAGAUCGCCGUGCACCUGCUGGUGAUCUUGGGCGCUGGGAAGCUGCUGGGGUUGGAGGAGAAGCUGCUGCUCAUCGCGUCCAGCCACCGCCUGCGGCAUGGCCACCAGCAAGGGCUGGAGCUCCCUGGUCGUCCCCGGGAUCCUCGCCGGCAUAUUUGGCAUCGCCAUCGCCACCUUCCUCGGCGUCGGUUUCGGCAUGUUUGUCCUCAAGCACAUGUGACGCAAUGCACCUGCACUUGA
rnacentral:rRNA from 1 species